GUCACCACCAAGAAGAAAACGGAGUCUGGCAGCACUGUUGGUUUCUCCUCCAAUGGGAAGAAGCUCACUGUGAUGUUGGAUCAGGAGGGAAACACGCUGACCAAGCAGACCAGCAACCAUCCUGCAUCACAUACGCCACCCUGAGGCACACAGAUAUGCGAGGGGAUGAGGAACCAGGUCAAUACAAAGAGGGGAACGUUUACACCAAC